CUGCCCAGCUAGUUUUUUAAUUUUUAGUAGAGAAGGGAGUCUCACUCUUGCUGGUCUCCAACUCAUGAGCCAGAGCUCAGGAUCCUCCCACCUUGACCUCCCAGAGUGCUGGGAUUACAGGUGUAAGCACCGUGCCCAGCCCCCAACAAGCUCUUCUUAGCAGAAUUUCCAAGGGAUGUCAGAAACUGUGGUGGGCUGAAUGUUUGUAUGCUCCCCCACCCUGAAUUCUUAUGUUUGAAUCUUCAAUCCCAAGGGGAUGUGUUAGCAGGUGGGGUCACUGGGAAGGUGGGAUGAUGCUCUUAAAAAGAGGCCCCAAAGGAACCCCUGUCCCUCCCACCAUUGGGGACACAGGACAAGGUGCCAUCUAUGGACCAGGAAGCCCUCAUGGGACACUGAGUAUGCUCACCUGGGUCUGUGACUUCCACCUCCAGGCUGUGAGAAAUAAGUGUGCCUAGGAGCAGCCCAGUCUGCAGAGUUUGUGAGGGAACACUAGGCAGGCUCAGACAUUCAGGAAGGAACUAAAUGGUUGUGGAAAGGCCAGACACAGUGGCCCACACCUGUAAUCCCAGCACUUUGGGAGGCUGAGGAGGACAGAUCCCUUGAGCUCAGGAGUUGAAAACCAGCCUGAGCAAGAGCAAGACUCCACCUCUACUAAAAAUAAAGAAAACUAGCCAGGUGUAGGGUGGGCACCUGUAGUGUCCCAGCUACUUGGCAGGCCAAGGCAGGAGGAUCUCUUGAGCCCAAGAGAGGUUGUUGUGAGCUGUGAUGCCACAACACUUUACCAAGGGUGACAAAGUGAUACUCUGUCUCAAUUUUAAAAAGAAAGAAAGAAACAAAAAAAAAGAAAGUUUUUAAGCACUUAUUGUGUCUUGUCUGGAGUUACCAUGAAGCUUCUUGCUCUUUCUUGGGCUGUAAAGCCUUUCUUAGGUGGCUGCCAGGUGCUCCCGUCCUCACUCUUGUCUCUCUGUCCUACAGGAAACACCUCCCAAGUGACCAACUGUGCCCCAUGGGCUCCUGAGAACUGCAACGUGUCCUUUGAGGAGAGCAGAGUGAUCCUGGUAGUGGUGUACAGCGCGGUGUGCACGCUGGGCCUUCCGGCCAACUGCCUGACCGCGUGGCUGACGCUGCUGCAGGUGCUACAGGGCAACGUGCUGGCGGUCUACCUGUUCUGCCUGGCGCUGUGUGAGCUGCUGUACGUGGGCACCCUGCCACUCUGGAUCAUGUACGUGCAGAACCAGCACUGCUGGACCCUGGGCCCAUGGGCCUGCAAGGUGACCGCCUACAUCUUCUUCUGCAACAUCUACGUCAGCAUCCUCUUCCUCUGCUGCGUCUCCUGCGACCGCUUUGUGGCAGUGGUAUAUGCUCUGGAGAGUCGGGGGCACCGCCGCCAGAAGACCGCCGUGGUCAUAUCUGUGUCCAUCUUUCUCCUGGUCGGGCUGGUUCACUACCCAGUGUUUGAGAUGGAGGACAGGGACACCUGCUUCGAGACGCUGCAGAUGGACGCCAGGAUUGCUGGGUACUACUACGCGCGCUUUGCUGCGGGCUUCGCCCUGCCCCUCCUUCUCAUCGCCUUCACCAACCAGCGCAUCUUCCGGAGCAUCCGGCGCAGCGUGGGCCUGGAUGCCGCCCAGAAGGCCCGGGUGCGGCGCUCCGCAGUGGCUGUCGUGCUCAUCUUCCUGUUCUGCUUUGCACCCUACCACCUGGUGCUCCUCCUCAAAGCUGUCGCCUUUUCCUACUAUAGAGGGGACCGCCAGGAUGUGUGUGCCUUUGAAGCCAGGCUCUACACAGCCUCCACGGUGUUUCUGUGCCUGUCCACGGUGAACAGUGUGGCCGACCCCAUCAUCUACGUGCUGGCCACAGGCCACUCUCGGCAGGAAGUAUCCAGAAUCCACAAGGAGUGGAAAAAGUGGUCCAGAAAGACAAACAUUACCAAGCUCACGUGUUCCAAGGACUCAGGGGAGAUAGGAUCACCUACAGCACUCACAGACCACUACAUAUUCCUGGGGCCUGUCCACCCUCUGGGCUCACAGCAGGACAUGUGGGGCUCAGGGUGUUCCCUGAGCCAGCUGGGCGAGGAGUCCUGCUGAGCUCACAUACUGCAGGGGAGGACAGCAGGGAUGAGAGGGGGCACCCAGUGGCCAGUGGUGUCUGCUAAGCCACCAGCCGGUGUCCAUGCAGAUAGCCAUGGAGGCCUCUGAAGACACACUUCAGGUCUCUUGCUCCCUUCAAGAACCUCUGCCCUUGUGUGUCAUAGCCCUAGGAUUUCCCACAUAGGCAGUUGCAGUAUCUAAGGUGGCCUGCACUGAGAGCUGCAGACAAGAGGACGUCUUGCUGGCAGCCCGUCUGGCCAGCUCCCUCAGCUGUCAGCAAACAGUAGAGGCCCCAGGCAGCUGCCCAGUUAGCAUCCUUGCUGGUGCCUUUAUUUUGUGUGACUUUCCACAAAUGUUGCCUGGAUAGGAUAGGAUGGUGCACCGUAGGCUUUCCGGGUUUCUGCCACAGAAUGUGGAUAUGAGCCAGGCCACAGGUUGCCUAGUGCUGUGGGACAUGGGAGCUGGCCUUGAGAGUCCUCAUCUGGAGUUGGCUCCAUGCCGAGUGCACAUGUGCUGCCUUGGGGUAGGUGGUCAGCUACUCUGGCUCCUGAAUGGCCACCCGUGGGCCCCUGGGGAGCCCCACAUGUUCAUGCUGGGAGCAAACAUUGGCAGGAAAUGCUGGUGGACACCCUGGGUGGGGUAUGACACACUUGCCACAGAGGCAAGGGACCCUUGGAAUUCCUGGCUCUGUUGUCAGGGAGAAGUGGCUGAGGGGUCCGCAGAACCUGUCAGCAGCAAGUGUGUGACACGGACCCUGGCCCCCAACCCCUUCACUUGGCUGGAGCACAGGAGCUGCUCUGCGUGUUGUGGAAAGCCAUCACCUGGGAACCCCAUGGCCCAGAGGCAGACCCAGGCUUUACUCCUGACCAGCUUGCUGAGCCAGCUCAUGUCUCUGCCUUGGUUUCCCCAUUUAUAAAACAGGGCCAAUGACACCUACCUCACUGAGUCACUGCCAGGGCUAACUGUCCUCCCCUCUGUAUCCUCUACCCUGCCCUUCACACACAGAGCAGGGCCAACCCUCGUUGCAGGGCCCUGGGAUGUCACAGUCCCUUUCUGUGUGGCAGCUGUCAUUCUUCACUGUGAAAGGCAUUGAGAAAAAUGCACUUAGAAAUAAAAGCACAUAAAUGCAUGUUAGCCCAACUUCUUCUUUAAAAGAAACAAUGCAACUUUACCGUGUGGACUGACUGAUUAAACUCUUUCCUCCGGGGCUCUUUUGGGUGCUCUCACAGGGACAGCCAUGGAGGGGCUUGGUGAGUGGGGGCCGGGGUCCUGGAGCAGUCUGGAGAACUCAGCGCUUGGGCGAGAGGGAGCACGCCAUGUUUAGGGGGGUAUUGAUCCCCAUGGCUGCUGCAGUUGCCUCAAACUUGGCAGCUUACCACAACAAAACUGAUCCCUGUGGUUCUGGAGACCAAAACUCCAUUUUUUUAGCUUUUGCUGCCACAAAGCAACAACUAAACAGCCUUCUCCUUCCAGAGCUGGGUUCUGCCAUAUGCUGCCCAGGGGGCUGCAAUCUGGACUUCAGGGUGGGGACGGUCCAGCUUGGGGCUGGGAGCUGCAUGGAGCACCUGGCUCAGGACAGACCGUGUGGAAAUCCCCCCAGAUUCCCAAAGGAUAGCUCACUUUGGGCAGGCAUCAUCCUCUGCUCCCUAGACCCAUCGUCCAUAAUUUGGGAAAGGUGUUCAUUUCAGCUUCCUGGUUGGGGGCCCACCACAGGGUAGGCGUUCAUUUCAGCUUCCUCGUUGGUUUCCCCAACCAGGGGGGAAGGAAGUUCAUUUAUGAAAAGGUCUAUCUGUCCCCAGGUGCUGGUCCUGAACAGACCCAGGGAGUUUACCUUUCCCACGAGUCAGCUUCCUGCAGCCGCCAGGGGGCAGCAUCUGAGAGGCCCUGCCACUGCCUCCCACCUGCCUGUGUCCAGGGUCCCUCUGCCGGAUCUGGGCAGCAUGUCUGUGAAACCAGUUGUUACUCUGCAUUGGACUUCUCUCCCUGAACACCCAUCUGGUGUGUUCAGCGGUGGUUUGCUUUCCACAUGGUCGAGAGUAUGCCACCAACUUCCCAUGGAUGAUCCUCCUCUGAUAGGCAUGCAGAUGGUUUCCAGUUU